rnacentral:lncRNA from 1 species
CCUCCUCCACCCUCUCCGCCGGCCCCUCUCCUCUGCCUCCUCCUUCUCCACCCCCGCCACCCCUCCUCCUCCACCAGCCGCGCCCGCUCCGCCCACCGCCGCUGCUCCUGACCGACGGUGAGGGGCGAGUGGAGGGGGGAGGGGAGGGUAGGUACUAGAGGAGGAUAUUGAGAGAGGAGAGACGAGGAGACUGAGAGAUUGAGAGAGGCAAUGUGCGGUGGAGAGGAUACUGAGAGAGGAGAAUAAAUCUAAGUGUGUGGUGGGGAGGAAGAUAGCACGGGAAAAAAUCCAAGUGCGCGGUGGGAAACCUCUAGUACCAGUUGAUGGCUUAACCCAGUACUAGAGGUCGCCCUCUAGUUCCGAGUGGAGACCCUAACUGGUACUAGAGGGCCUCCGCAGAAUCCCAAACUUGGAUCCGGUACUAAUGCCCCCUCUAGUACCUGGUCCAAAUGUGACCGGUACUAAUGUUAGGGAUGAGAGGUCAUAUUUCUAGUAGUGUUAUCUUUCAAUAUGUUAUUAAUUUGUAACAAUACACUGUAAGAAAAAAUAAUGGUUGAAAUUUAUUUUUUUUUAAAAGACAUUUUCAGACCUGUAAAUUUAGAAGAAAAUGGAGAAGGUAGUAUUCAUAGGGACAGUGUAGGGCCAUGGUAGCUAGUGCUAGUGUAGUACCAUCGGCAGCAAAAGAUGACAACGGGUAGAAAAUAUCCAUGUGCCCGCUCAUAUGAAACCCCAUGGGCACGGAUAUGGGUCUAAGUUUUUGCCCAUGAGCACGGGCACGGGCGUGACCCUAGACCCAACGGAUAUUUGCUUACGGGCAUGAAAAAAUGAUAUCCGCACCUGCAAACCCGCCAGACCCGCUCCAAUGUCUGACAUGUGGCCCCAACCCCAAUACCAUGUAUAUAAUCUCAUAUUAUGGUUUCAUUCCAAUUUCUUGAAUCCUGAUUCAUUUUCCCCUCCUGGCCUCCCCCGUCCCCCAUCUCCCCGAGACCCCGACCUAGUACCGCUAGGCCGCCAGCACCGCCCCUUCCCGCCGUCGGCUGCCCCCAGAUCUGUCAUCCGCCCGUCCACCCCCAUCUCCCCAAGACACUGACCGCCAAGCGCUAGCGCCACCCCUUCGCUCGCCGGCUGCCCCCGAAUCUGUCGUCCGCUCGUCCGCCAGCAGUUGCCACUCAUCACCUCAUCCAGCGCCCAUAGUGGUCCCUACCCCCAUCCCGCAUCUCCCCAACCCUGACCUAUCGGCCAGUGCUGCCAGGCCGCCAGGGCUAGGGCCUCGACGCUGCCCCUUCCUGCC